UGCCAGCAGCCGCGGUAAUACGGAGGGGGCUAGCGUUAUCCGGAAUCAUUGGGUUUAAAGGGUCCGUAGGCGGGCAAUUAAGUCAGAGGUGAAAGUUUGCGGCUCAACCGUAAAAUUGCCUUUGAAACUGGUUGUCUUGAAUCAUUAUGAAGUGGUUAGAAUAUGUAGUGUAGCGGUGAAAUGCAUAGAUAUUACAUAGAAUACCAAUUGCGAAGGCAGAUCACUAAUAAUGUAUUGACGCUGAGGGACGAAAGCGUGGGGAGCGAACAGGAUUAGAUA
rnacentral:rRNA from 1 species